CGGGACGGGUGAGUAAUGCUUGGGAAUCUGGCUUAUGGAGGGGGAUAACUACGGGGAACUGUAGCUAAUACCGCGUAGUAUCGGAAGAUGAAAGUGCGGGACCGUAAGGCCGCAUGCCAUGGGAUGAGCCCAAGUGGGAUUAGGUAGUUGGUGGGGUAAAGGCCUACCAAGCCUGCGAUCUCUAGCUGGUCUGAGAGGAUGGCCAGCCACACUGGAACUGAGACACGGUCCAG
rnacentral:rRNA from 1 species